AUCCAGGUCUUCCAGUCAAUCAGUGUCUUCCAGAAAGAAAUCCAGGUCUUCCAGUCAGUGUCUUCCAGAAAAAUCUAUGUCUUCCACCAAAUCCAGGUCUUCCAGUCAAUCCACAUCUUCCGGAAAAAAUCCAGGUCUUCCAGCCAAUAUAUGUCUUCCUGAAGAUCCAUGUCUUCCAGAAAAUCCAUGUCUUCCAGAAAAUCCACGUCUUCCAGUAACCUCCCAGUCUUCCAGAAAAUCCACGUCUUCCCAACAAUCCAGGUCUUCCGGAUAAUUUGGGUCUUCCUGAAAAUCUACGUCUUCCAAAAAAGCCAUGUCUUCCAGAAAAUCCACAUCUUCCAAUGGCCUCCAGGUCUUCCAGACUAUCCAUGUCUUCCAGAAAAUCCUUGUCUUCCCUCAAAUCUAUAGCUUCCAAAAAAUCCGGGUCUUCCAGGAAAUCCGUGUCUUCCAGCAAGUCCACGUCUUCCAACAAAGCCAUGUCUUCCAGACUAUCCACGUCUUCCAGAAAAUCCUUGUCUUCCCUCAAAUCCAUAGCUUCCGAAAAAUCCAGGUCUUCCAGGAAAUCCGUGUCUUCCAGCAAAUCCACGUCUUCCAACAAAGCCAUGUCUUCCAUCAAAUUAAUGUCUUCCAGCCUACUUGUGUCUUCCAACAAAGGUGUGUCUUCCAACAAAGGUACGUCUUCCAACAAAGGUACGUCUUCCAACAAAGGUACGUCUUCCAGAAAAUCCAUGUCUUCCAACCAAGCCAUGUCUUCCAGAAAAUCCACGUCUUCCAGAAAAUAUAUGUCUUCCAACUAAGCUACGUCUUCCAACAAAUCCAUGUCUUCCUAUAUCUCCAGGUCUUCCAGCAUCUCCAGGGCUUCCAGCAUCUGCUCGUCUUCCAACAUCUCCACGUCUUCCAGCAUCUCUACGUCUUCCAGCAUCUUCAUGUCUUCCAACAACUACCCAGUCUUCCAUCAACUGGCUCAAUAUCCAUGUCUUCCAACGUCUCCAGUGUGCUGAUCUUCUGACAUUCAGGUCUUCCAGUGUCUGCAAUAUCCAGAUGAGGAAACUGGCACACAGAGGUGAAGUGAAUUUUGUCCACAGGACACAACUACUAAAUAAUGGAGCCAGAUUUAAACCCGGCUAGCCUGUUGUGAGAGUCCAUGAUUGUAACCACUAUGCUAUAAUAUCUGCUGUUUAAAAUCAUGAUAGAAUGAUGUGAUCCAAAGGUUGAUUGCUUCCACAUUUUGUGUACAAUAUUAUACAAUCCCGUAUACAAAUGGUCUCGCUUGAUCCUGUCACUGCCAGAGUCUGUUUGUAUGCACAGCUUUUAUUCCCCAACCAGCUACUGCCAUUCCCUUGGACCUGUAUAUGGAAGUAGGUGCAAACACUUUCUGAUACCAUUUUCAGUUUUGGCAGGAAGAAUAUAAGGAAGCACUGAGUUCAAUUACCCUUUGCUUCAGAAUCAUAUUCAUAGCUCCAUGCUUUGAGUACUGGUGCUUGGAAUUUAACUCUUCUAUCUAUUUGAAUCCCCUUUUACUGACUUUUGUCCAGUUUGCACCUUACUAUGUGGAGCACUUACCAUUAGUUUGUUUCUAAACUCCAGCAUCUACCUGCUUCAAAUAUCGCAACCUCCUGGGUUCCUGGCCACUGCCUUGUAUCCGACUAAUGGUAGCUGCAACUCCUUAAAUCCCAGCAUGCUGAUCUGGAGAACCAAGUAGUUGGUUCUCUAAGUCUCAGCUCCCACCAGGUGCCUUCAGCAAUGUUGCUACCCAUGCUUCUGGCUGGCAUGAAAAGCAUGAAAACCACAUAAUUAAAUUUUUACAGUUAGGCAGGGACUCUCUAAAGAUUUAAAAUCCUCUAUAUGAUAACAAAAAGGAACAAUGAUAAUGCCAAUUAAAAUAGAAAUACCUUCUGAAUGUCUAAUGAUUUAUACUUUACAAAGUGCUGUCACCUCAUUCAUUCAUUCAUUCAUUCAACAAAUAUUUAUUGAGCGCUAACUGUAUGCCAGGCAUGUUUUGAUAAAGCUUAAAAUCAUCUGUGGGAAACAACAUACAGAUGAUAAUUGGAAAAUUAUUUAUCAAUUGUUAAGGCCAUGAAGAAAAAGUAACUGAGAGUCUGGAAAAUCAAGGAAAGCAUUCCUAAAGAAGUAAUAUUUAUUGUGACUCUGAAGAAUCUAUAUUCUCAUUUGGUUCUCACAAUAUAGCCUUGUGACUUAAAUAAAACAGAUUUUUUGUGUAUCAGUUUUACUAAUCUGAGUGCUAACAAUAGCCAUGGGACCCAGCUGUUUUGACCUCUUUAUUUUCCCUGCUACUCAUUUUGCCUUAAAAUAUAUAUGAAGUACUAUUUGAAAAUUUAUAUCAAGGGAUAUAAAAAUGUACUUUUUGGUUUAGUAUAUUCCACUUCAAGGAAUCUGUCCAAGGAAAUUAUCUAAAAUGUGGAUAACUCACACACAAAGAUACUCCUCACAUAGUUAUUUGGUAUAGUGAAAAACAGAAAAACCUUAGUCUAACAUUCAGGGAAUGAUUAAGUAAAUGUGCCAUGUACCUAUGAUGGAAUAUUCUUCCAUUAAAAUGCUAUGGCAUAUUCAUUUUAUAAGUUAAGUGAAAAAUCAGCAUACAAGGUUACAUAAAGUGUGAUGGCAACUAUUUUAAAAUAUAUAAUCAGUGACAAAUGACUAGAAGUAAAUGUAUUGGGGACUGUAAACUAAUUAUUACUGGAUGGGUUGGAUUAUGUAUGAUUUUAUUUUCUUCUAUAUAUUCUUUUAUUUUUAAGUUCUUACAAUGUACAGGUAUUUUCUAUUCAGGAAAAAUAUUUAAACAAUUGUGCACAAAACUAUUCAUCUUUUUUCUUGUACAUGGAAUCAAGUUUUACUGUUGGAAACACUUCAAAAUAUAUGUUAGCAAAGUGAAAAAAACAAAUUCUCAAAUAAUUUCAGUAUCUAGAGAUAAUCACUGUAAGGAUUUUCGUGUAUGCUCUUGUAGACACUUUUACUAGCAUAUUUUCUUGUACAAAAUGUAAUCAUACUGCAAUUUAACCUAUUUCUUUCUUACACUUAAUAAAUUGUGAACAACUUUCUAUGUCAGUAACUGUGCAGCUAUGUAAUAAUUUUAAUAUAUAAUUUACUUACUCCAUCUCCUAUUGGUGAGCAUUAAGUUCCUUCCAAUUUUCUUGUAUUAUAAAAACUUCUGUGAUCAGCACAUACUUUAUGUAAGGUGUGAAGAACACAAACUGUGUCAUUCUACCUGGUGUUCCUGUACAUAUUUGUGUGCAGAUGUGUUUGGGUAUUACUUAGGAUAAAUUUCUAAAAGGAGAGUUGCUGAGCCAAACAAGACCAUGUGCAUCAUAAUGUUUAUCACAGCAAAAAAAUUACAAGCAAUCAUGUGUCUAACAGUUGGGGUGGUUAGAAAAUUAUAUUGUAACUAUCUAAUGGAAUACUGUGCGGUCAUUUAAAUUUAUACCAUGGAAGAAUAUUUACCAAAAUGGGAAUAUGUUCAUAAGGUAUCAUCAGUGAGAGAAAUAGGUCACAAAAAAUAUGUAUAAUGUUCAUGUUUCAUAGAAGGAAAACUAAAUACUUUCAGGAAAAUAACUAGAAGAUAUACACUAAAAUGUUAGUAGUAAAAGUCCCAAAAAGAAAAUGGAUAAAUCAUGGUAUAUUUCAUGUAAAAUAUUAUAUAGUCAUUAUAUGAAUGUUCUACAGCUACACAUAACAAUAUGGGUAGAUUUUACUUCUAGAAUAUUAAGAUAUCAAGUCUCAAAAGACUACAUAUAGUAGGAUAUCCUUUUUAUAUUAUUCAAAAACAGGUAAAACUAAGCACUAUAUUAUUUAGGGCUACAUACACAUACCAUACAAAUAAUUUAUUAAAAAGCAAAAAAAAUUUAAAAUUGAAGAUGAUGGUCACUGGGGUUGAGGAAAGAGGGUCAGAAUAUGGGAGGACAAUGUACAUGAAUUCAUAUUAUGGUUAACAUUCUAGUACUCGUGUGUUGGGUAGUGGUUGGUGUCAUUAUGUAAUUGAAAUCCCAUUAUUGAUUAUUUAAUACUUUUAUGAUUAUUAUUAACAUUAAAUAAAAAGGCAAGUUAAUGAGUAAAAAUAAAAGAGGGCCUUGCAUGAAUCAAUGAGACACUGUGCACAAUCUAAGGAUUAUUAAUCCCUUUCUGUACAUUUGUCUUUCAUUAUUUUUUAAAGUAAUUUAUCUGUGGGUAGUAAGACUACAUGGG
rnacentral:lncRNA from 1 species